rnacentral:rRNA from 1 species
UACGUAGGUGGCAAGCGUUGUCCGGAUUUACUGGGCGUAAAGAGCGCGCAGGCGGUCGUUCAAGUCGCGUGUGAAAGCCCCCGGCUCAACUGGGGAGGGUCACGCGAUACUGAUCGACUCGAAGGCAGGAGAGGGUAGUGGAAUUCCCGGUGUAGUGGUGAAAUGCGUAGAUAUCGGGAGGAACACCAGUGGCGAAAGCGACACCCUGGCAUUAGCCUGACGCUCAUGUGCGAAGGCGUGGGGAGCGAACGGG